rnacentral:rRNA from 1 species
CCUUCAUGAAGCUGGAAUUGCUAGUAAUGGCAGGUCAGCAUACUGCCGUGAAUACGUUCCCGGGCCUUGUACACACCGCCCGUCACACCAUGAGAGUUGGAAAUACCCGAAGCCUGUGAGCUAACAGUAAUGAGGCAGCAGUCGAAGGUAGAGCCAAUGAGUUGGGGUGAAGUCGUAACAAGGUACC